rnacentral:rRNA from 1 species
UGCGAGAAAGGUUCCUUCGGGGACUGAGUAGAGCGGCGCACGGGUGAGUAACGCGUGGGUGACCUACCCAGGAGACCGGGAUAACAGUGGGAAACUGCUGCUAAUACCGGGUACGCUUCAUAUUUCACGUAUGGGGGAAAGGCGGCCUCUGCUUGCAAGCUGCCACUCUUGGAUGGGCCCGCGUCUCAUUAGCUUGUUGGUAGGGUAACGGCCUACCAAGGCAACGAUGAGUAGCUGGUCUGAGAGGAUGAUCAGCCACACUGGGACUGGAACACGGCCCAGACUCCUACGGGAGGCAGCAGUGGGGAAUAUUGCGCAAUGGGCGAAAGCCUGACGCAGCGACGCCGCGUGAGGGAAGAAGGCCUUCGGGUCGUAAACCUCUGUCAGGAGGGAAGAAACCAUGGGAGUCGAAUAGGCUCUCGUGCUGACGGUACCUCCGGAGGAAGCACCGGCUAACUCCGUGCCAGCAGCCGCGGUAAUACGGAGGGUGCAAGCGUUAAUCGGAAUCACUGGGCGUAAAGCGCACGUAGGCGG